ACGCUCGACACCUACGGGAGACAGCAGUGGGGAAUAUUGCACAAUGGGCGAAAGCCUGAUGCAGCAACGCCGCGUGAGCGAAGAAGGCCUUCGGGUCGUAAGCUCUGUCCUCAAGGAAGAUAAUGACGGUACUUGAGGAGGAAGUCCCGGCUAACUACGUGCCAGCAGCCGUGGUAAUCUGAGCGGGCUGGCAAGGC
rnacentral:rRNA from 1 species